UGUGGCGUAGCCAAGUUGGUAAGGCACCGCACUGUUAAUGCGGCUAUCGUAGGUUCGAAUCCUACCGCCACAGCCA
rnacentral:tRNA from 1 species